rnacentral:rRNA from 1 species
UACGGAGGGUGCAAGCGUUGUUCGGAAUCACUGGGCGUAAAGCGCGUGUAGGCGGCCUCGUAAGUCUGGUGUGAAAGCCCGGGGCUUACCCCCGGAAGUGCACUGGAAACUGCGAGACUUGAGUACCGGAGAGGAGGGUGGAAUUCCUGGUGUAGCGGUGAAAUGCGUAGAUAUCAGGAGGAACACCGGUGGCGAAGGCGGCCCUCUGGACGGAUACUGACGCUGAGACGCGAAAGCGUGGGGAGCAAACAGG